UAUAGGGGCCCCCCACGGGCGGAAAACUUUGCCAUGUGGGCAAGCCCGGCAAGGGUAAUUCGGAGUGUUCUUCGUAAAGGAAUUUUUUUUUCGUUUUAAAAACACUGGGGGAUAAGGGGGGGGCAAGUUCUGGUGUCAGCCGCCGCGGUAAAACCAGCUCCUCAAGUGGUCAGGAUGAUUAUUGGGCCUAAAGCAUCCGUAGCCGGUUAAGUAAGUUCCCGGUUAAAUCCACCGGCUUAAUUGUUGGAUUGCCGGGGAUACUGCAGGGCUAGGGGGCGGGAGAGGCAGACGGUACUCGGUGGGUAGGGGUGAAAUCCUAUAAUCCCGGGAAGACCACCAGUGGCGAAGGCGGUUUGCCAGAACGCGUUCGACGGUGAGGGAUGAAAGCUGGGGGAGCAAACCGGAUUAGAUACCCGGGUAGUCCCAGCUGUAAACGAUGCAGACUCGGUGAUGCACGGCCUCUUGCCAUUGCAGUGCCGCAGGGAAGCCGUAAGUCUG
rnacentral:rRNA from 1 species